rnacentral:rRNA from 1 species
AGGGUAACACCCGUUUCCAUUCCGAACACGAAGGUUAAGCCUAAGAAAGCCAAUGGUACUGCAUGGGUGACCGUGUGGGAGAGUAGGUUGUCGCCAG